GCAAGGGUGCCUCCAUAAGGUGCCAGAAGUCCCAGCCUGAAGCCAGAGGCUGCUAUUGCAAGUCAGAUGGGGGAUGAUCUAUGUUAGGCGUCAGAAAGGUGGUGUACGCAGGAAGGCAAGGCAAAGAUGUGAUUAGACUACCUUCAAUAAGACAGGGCAACAGACACAUGACAAGUGACUGGGAGAGAGAGACUUUAAAAGGACUGGCCUGAAACUGAACUGGG